rnacentral:lncRNA from 1 species
CUUGGUAUUUCACACCUACCCAGGUAUUAUGUGCAUUUUGCGCAUGUUCUGCAACUAUUAAUCCCAAAUGCUCAACUCAAUUAAAGGUCAUUAUUAGUCAAUCUAUGGGAUAGAUUUGCACAUAGAAUCACGAAAUAUCCCGAGUUGGAUGAGACCCAUGAAGAUCAUUGAGUCCAACUCCAACAUGAUUGGUGCUGUGCUGCUUGAGGAACAGCCAUUAAUGGAAAGCUCACAAAAAUGAGAAAGGUGAUGAACACUUGACAAAAAUAAAUAAAUAAAAUGAGGAAUAACUUGGUUAGGCCAGUUGUAGAGUUCCUCUUCCCUACAGCCACAAUACUGUAAAGCAUGAUAAAAAUGAAAAAUUAUAUCCCUUUUUUCUUCUUUUUUUUCCUUCUAAAUUGCCAAAAGAUAGAAAUAAUCAUUACUAACAUGCAGAAAGGACUAUAAUAGCUGUGAACGACAAAGAAAGAAAAAAGAUGAAAUAGCUGUGUGCUUAUUGCCCUUUAACACCUAUUUUAUUAAUAAAAUUUCUGUGUCUAUUGUGCCCACUAUAAAGAUUUAAGAGUGGGUAGCCAAAGCGGUGAUGGGUUCUACAGGCCAGUAUGCCCACUGGGCGAUACCUGGGCAGCUAAUAACCUUCAGAUUAUCCAAUUUGGGGCAGCUGUCCAUGUCAUCAUUGCCUUAACUCAACUCUUCAGCAACAGCUUGGCCACCUUCACCUGCAGCAGAGUUUCCUAAAGUGACUUGCUGACUUUGAGCAACUUGACUCCAAGGAGUUAACGGGAGUUUUCUCUGUGACACCAGUUGGGUAGAGUUGAAGUUUUGAUGUAUAAGAAACAGACACUUAGCUGUACUGAUGGUUCAUGGCUUUUUGGAAGGAUUACCUGUUGGGUGCAUGGGAGCUCAGAAUGCAGAGACCAGUGAUUUAAAGAUGAAGGACAAAGCACUGCUGAGCACAAUGGAACAGAAGAUUCACUCGAGUGAGGGACAGUUGGAAGACUUGCGUCUCAGGGCUGAGAGUUCCCAUCCAUGCUAUGUACUUUUGGCUGGGACACUGACCAUUGUUUCAAGUGACAUGCUGUCCUGGCUCCCACACAAGGUGAUUUUUAAUAUGUCCCAUAAGUUGUUCUUAGGGUGUCCGGGAUACCGUCAUUGUGGCUUCCAUGAAUACAGGGGAAAUUCCUGGCAGAUUCCAAGAACAAGGAAGUUGAAGGCUUCUCAGUGAUGGAAAAUGGACUGUGUUCUUGUUGAAGGCAUGUGAACCGUGGAUCUGAAAGCCAAAAUUACUAUCUCCCUUACCUCCCACUGGGGAAAAAAUCUAGUCCUAUCAUUUGGAUGUCACUGUUGGUAUUCUAUCUGGUUUUAUCUUUAGAGCAGUGUACAUGCAGUUUUGUGGUUAUAGUGUAAAAAUAUGUGGUAUCAUGUAUCCUUGACUAGCAAGGAUAGAAUCUGAUAUAGAGCCAUGGUACCUUGAAGUUUUCCUUAUUUUGAAAUGUUUUAUAUAUCAAAGAAGCUGUACCAAUCCAAGUAUGCCUUAAGCAUUACUAACUAUUAAAAAAAAAUAAUAAAAUACAUAAAGUUUGGGGCUGGGGCUGCUAG